GGAAACGUAAAAUGAUUGGCUAGAAUCCAAAGUGUAUGACAUUUCAGGAAAAAAAAAGCACGGAAAUAAAGCACCGACAUGUGCGCUGUCUUACGGUCUGGUUACUACCGUUUAUGUCAGAACCGGUGCCAUAAUUGGCACCGGAUACCGGUACCCAUCCCUACACCUGUCUCCCUCUCAUUCACAAACAUCUACUCUGUGUUCCUUCAACUGAUUUUCCUUCCUCUUCUCCCUAGUGCAUACUUCCACUUCUCCACGGUCUUGUCACAAACAUGUUGUGUGCAAACAUCAUAGUCCAGUUUAUUACUUAGUAUCUACUGAUAUUUACUGCUAGCUAGUUUAUUGUGAUGGUGCCGUUUUUUUUAUUAUGUUGCUCUUUGUUGUUUGCUUUCUCUUCUGUUUUUUUUUCUCCAUACAGGUGACCCAGGUGUUUUUUUUGUUUUUUUUGUUGUUUGGUUGUUUUUUUUUUCUUCUUUCUUCCCCCCCUUCUCACCGUCUCUUCUCCCCUUUGGUUUUCUUUCUCUCCCUCUUUUUCUUUCAUUCUUUCUCCCUGUCCUAUCCCCCAGUCAUGUCUGUCCCGUUUGUAGCAACUGAAAAUAAAAUAAAUUCAUAAUUAUAAUAAAGGUCAAUCAAAUGGACCAAUAUGGCAAGGCCAUGAUGAUCCACUUGAUAAAAUAAAUCCACUUGGCAUCUUUCUUGGCCUUAAGACAACAAUUCUGAUGGCUAAAGAUCCAAACGGGACACAAAAAAACCAAAAAAAAAACCCAAACAAACAAAAAAAAAAACCCCAUCAUAGUCCACAGAGUGACCCACCUGACCUCAGCGCUUUCUCAUGUAAACCUUCCCCCAACUUGAACCAAUUAUCCCAACAAACUGUCUUUAUUUGUUAUGACAUUAGUUUGUUUGUUGUAUUUCAGAACCCCACCCACCCCAUUUUUGUUUUUCCUCCACUUGAAAAGCUGGCAUAUCUGAGCCUUUACCAAGUGUUUUUCUUGUUUCCUCUCCUGAGAAGUGGUUCAUAGAUGUUAGCCACCCUCUGAGACCACCACAGGAAAGCCUUCUAUUCUCAGGAUUUUCCCUGACUGGAGUCUUGUGUUCUGCAUUUAGUUAACUCUGUGCCUGAUGAAGUUGCUAUUCUAUCUUUCAGCAAAACAAAACUGGAUGUAUU
ensembl:lncRNA